UUAGGGUUAGUCGGGACCUAAGUCGAGGCCGAUAGGCGUAGACGAUGGACAACAGGUUGAUAUUCCUGUACCACCUCCCCGCCGUUUGAGUAAUGGGGGGACGCAGAAGGAUAGGGUGAGCGUGCCGUUGGUUGUGCACGUCCAAGUUGUGAGAUGAGAAACGAGGCAAAUCCCGUUUCUACAUACAUCAAGCAGUGAUGGCAAGAGGUUUACCUCAGAGUCCCUGAUUUCACACUGCCAAGAAAAGCCUCUAGCGAGGCGGGAGGUGCCCGUACCGCAAACCGACACAGGUAGGCGAGAAGAG
rnacentral:rRNA from 2 species